CCCAUGCAAUCAGACAGCGGAACAACAAGAGGCUCUCUGGUCAGCUGGGCCUGGACGCCCGGGGACAAAUCCUUGGUAUAGGCCGUGAGCUCUUGGGCCAGGAAUUUGGGGCAAAGCUGAACGAGUCCCACCCCAAGGGUACAUCCAGCCUAACCAUGGGGCUCCAAACUUCCCUUCUCAGGGGCAGAUAUAACCUCAUCUACGAGGGUCCUUAUCAUCACAAGUUUGGCCCAGCAAAUGAUGUUCCUCAACUGCACCACAGCCACUGCAUCUCAACAGGUCCUCAGUCUCUUGUGCAACAACAAAAGCUGAAGUUGAAGUGUGAAAGAGAGAAAGAGUUGACAUGAAAUUGCUGCUUCAGCCUUAAUUGGAACAUCAGGAGCACUAGCAACAACAACACUUAAAAUUCAGCAAUCAACAGUUCGAUUGACGAAGGCUUUCAAAUGAAAAACUGUCAAUUUACAAAGCACCCUUCCCUGAAAAUCUGGCCAAGCUAAUACACAUUGUGAAUGCAUCA